AGUGUGUGCAUUCACAUCAAAGGCCAACAUGAAGACAGGCACAGUCUUUGUCCUAGUGGCUUUUGUCAUCUUGGGGAUGGAGAUGGCCUUCGCUCAGAGAGGUCCUCAUGGAGGGGGAGACAAACCUGGACUCUGCCCCAGGGUGCCCAAAGGAACCGUUGGGCCUUGUGUUGAAAGAUGUGGAGGAGAUGACACAUGUCCUGGGGAAAUGAAAUGCUGCAGCAAUGGAUGUGGCCAUGUAUGCAAACCUCCUAUCUUUGUGGAUGGUAUUGAUGACCCUGUGGAGGAAGAAUGGGGGGUGUAAGCGUGCCUGGAGACCAGCCCCAGAAGAUUGCUCAUGAAUGCAUGGAUCCAGUGCUUGGCAUAACAUUUUCCACACACCAUUCCUGGCAAGUGUCUAUCCCUUGACGUGCAGUCCCAGAAGAUGAAGAUCUAAAGUGGUGGAGAGGCCGAUUCUAAAGAGCUUGUGUCCAAAAUAAAUCUUAUCUGUGGCAUUAU